rnacentral:rRNA from 1 species
UACGUAGGUGGCAAGCGUUGUCCGGAAUUAUUGGGCGUAAAGCGCGCGCAGGCGGCCUCUUAAGUCUGAUGUGAAAGCCCCCCGGCUCAACCGGGGAGGGCCAUUGGAAGCUGGGAGGCUUGAGUAUAGGAGAGAAGAGUGAAAUUCCACGUGUAGCGGUGAAAUGCGUAGAGAUGUGGAGGAACACCAGUGGCGAAGGCGACUCUUUGGCCUAUAACUGACGCUGAGGCGCGAAAGCGUGGGGAGCAAACAGG